CUUCUUCCAGGUGUUUGUCCGGAAGCUCCGCAAAGCCUAUGGGAAGAGCGAGUGGAAUGCUGUAGAACGCCUCAAGGACAAUAAACCCAGCUACAAACUGGACCACAUUGUCAAGGAGCGGUACCCCACAUUUAUCGAUGCGUUGCGUGACCUCGAUGAUGCCCUGUCCAUGUGCUUCCUCUUCUCCACCUUCCCUCGGACGGGCAAGUGCCACGUGCAGACCAUCCAGCUGUGCCGCCGCCUCACCGUGGAGUUCAUGCACUACGUCAUUGCUGCCCGAGCCCUGCGCAAGGUCUUCCUGUCCAUCAAAGGCAUCUACUAUCAGGCUGAGGUGCUGGGUCAGCCCAUCGUGUGGAUUGCACCCUACGCUUUCUCCCAUGAUCAUCCAACAGAUGUGGACUACAGAGUCAUGGCCACCUUCACUGAGUUCUAUACCACUCUCCUGGGCUUCGUCAACUUCCGCCUCUACCAGUCACUCAACCUUCACUACCCACCCAAGGUAGAGCCCAGCACCUUCUCACCUAGCUUGGAUCUAGCCCUUUUGUCCCCACGCUGAAGCAAGGGGCUAUAGGUGUCCGCUUCCCUUUCCCCAGAUUGAAAGUCAAGCCCAAGCAGAGAUGAAGGUCAGCGAGGACACAUAUGCAUUGGAUUCCGAGAGCUCUAUGGAGAAACUGGCUGCCCUCAGUGCCAGCCUGGCCCGAGUGGUGGUGCCUGCUGUAGAGGAGGCUGAGGCUGAUGAGUUUCCCACUGACGGG
rnacentral:lncRNA from 1 species